UGUGCGCUGCUGCUCCCGACCUUCUCUCACCGCCCACUGGCUCACUGCGGCGUCAUACGUCUUACUAUGCGGAUAAUGGCUCUAUCUAUCUAUCUAUCUAUCUAUCUAUCUAUCUAUCUAUCUAUCUAUCUAUCUAUCUAUCUAUCUAUCUAUCUAUCUAUCUAUCUAUUGUUGUUUAUCAUUCUUUCAGUUACCCCUCAUUCAAAUUUGUGUUUGAUAUUGAUUUGACUGAUAUGAUGGAGCAGCACAUUUUCAUUUUGGAUUCUAUCAGUAUAUACAAUUCCAUAUUCCUCAGGUCAGUCACGUCCUGCUGAACCCUUCGACGUAAUUUACAAGGGGACAUUUGUGUGAAAUACACACAUUUUCCUACCGGGAGCAUGAAGGAAGAAGAUUUGAAAAGAGGAAUUUGUAAACAUGCAUUUCUAAGAUUGCAUCCAUAAAGCAUGGGCAGACAGGAUUGCAAUUAGACAACUGGAAUAUAUUGUUUCUCUGCCCCAUGGCUAAUUCAUUAUGGCUGCUGAAGAAUGUUUGCAGCAUGCUAAUAGAAAGAAGGCUGUUUAUAUGUCUGAUGCUACAGCUGGAACUGUGAAUUCAUGUGCCCACUGCUCUAAUUCUUUUUCUGAUAACUUGAUGUGCUUAUCAUGUAUCUCUAUACCUUGAACUGAAUACAUAUCAUUAUUAUUAUAGUAAAAGGAACAUGGAUGACACAUGACAAUAAUCAUUCUAAUUAACAAAUUUAUACUAAUGCACAUUGUAGCAGAGAUUAUAAACGCAGGUUGUCAAAAUUGCACCCGCAUUGCAUAUAAAGAAGGGCCUCAUUUUGAGUCGCACACAAUGCCGAGGCGCGCAAUUUUUUCCAACUGCGCACGUGCGAACAUUUCUAGGGAGGCCUGUAGUGCAUGCGUCACACACAGCGUACACAGAAAGAUGCUGCUGCAAUCAGGACAC